rnacentral:rRNA from 1 species
CAAUAGCGUAUAUUAAAGUUGUUGCAGUUAAAAAGCUCGUAGUUGGAUUUCUGGUAGGAGCGACCGUGCCGAACUUGAUUGUUCGAGUAUUGUGUUGUCUUCAGCCAUCCUCGUGGAGAACUUUUCUAACAUUAACUUGUUGGGAUUGGGACCCGCGUCGUUUACUGUGAAAAAAUUAGAGUGUUUAAAGCAGGCAUUAGCUUGAAUACAUUAGCAUGGAAUAAUAAGAUAGGACUUUGGUACUAUUUUGUUGGUUUGCAUACCAAAUUAAUGAUCAACAGGAACAGUUUGAGGAUAUUCGUAUGAACAUGUCAGAGGUGAAAUUCUUGGAUUUUGAUCAGGCGAACUACUGCGAAAGCAUUUAUCAAGGAUGUUUUCAUUAA